rnacentral:rRNA from 1 species
AUGAUUGCUCUUAUCGGUAUGGCUCCUACCGAGGCUGAGGCUGAUGUAGAGGAAGGAGAAGAGAAGAAGAAGAGUGAAAGGAAAGCAGCCGGAGCUGCUUUCACGUGGAUUCAAAAUAACUUUGCGACGUGCCCUCCGGAUGCCACUGAUGAUGUGAUCCAGACACAUGCUCAUGUCUACAUGUGGUACAUUGUGUCGAGGACUUUGUUUCCUGACUCCACUGGCAAGAACGCUCCAUGGAUGUGGCUGAAGGCGUUGACCGUGUUCGAUAGCAAAUGGAGCUGGGGUUCAGCGACUCUUGCCUACUUGUACCGACAGCUGGACGAUGCGUGUUGCAGGAUCACAGAUAGUGCAUGCAUUGGUGGUAAUAUGCUUCUACUUUCUGUAUGGAGCUGGGAGCGUCUGCCUGUUGGACGCCCGAAGAGCGUCAGGUUUAAUCCUUGGUAUGAAGAUGAAGAUGACGAAUUACGGCGCCCCACUUGGGCUUACAAAUGGGAUGUGGUUUCCGAGAUGACGAACGAUGUCAAUCUCAUGUACCAGAAGUACGUUGCCGAGUUGGACACGAUUACGCCUGAGCAGCCUCACCCGCCGGAAUGGGUGGAUACGGACAAAGCACUUCAUAGGUUGGACAGGAGAAGGCAGCAGAAGAUAAAGGACUGGGACACGCAUCAUGCUUCGUAUGUUACCCGCUUCCAGCUUUGCGUGGAGCAAGCUCGUAGCAGUGCACGCGCCCAGCUUCGUGAGCAUAACCCACUUGCUUUUGAUAACUACAUACGAUGGCUUCUUGAAAAUACUCAAGUUGAGAUAUACCCGCCGGCAUAUAAUGAGGAUAUUCUUGAAGAACCCGUAAACUUUGAGGAUCUAUCAAAGGGGAAGUACAACAGAGAUGUCAGGAAAGCAGCUGAUGAGAGCCAGUCUAUUCUCGAGAACACACCGGUUGGAAAAGGCAAUGAUGAUGGUUCACUACGAGCAUUCCUCAAGCGUCAGGCCAAGAAGUUAAGGCGGUUAUCGAAUCUUCUCGGUUGUCGUGAUCCCGAAUUUGAUGAACCAUCUGCCUCUAGGUCUGGUACACCAUCAGACCCCUCAUCUCACCAUCAGGGGGACGAUGUGAGUUCCUCAUAUGCUUAUCUGGAUGAUGAUGGCGUGGUCACCCAAGAGGGCAAUGAGCUUGAUGAUGACAUGACUUUGGCGGACGCUCAACUUCGGUCCCCAUAUGUGUUCAAGCCCAGGCAGCCAAGACGCCGAUACACGCCCAACGACUUUGACAACGGAGGCAGCCCAAAGGUGGUCGUAGGGACAUCGCGGAUGGCUAGCUUGGAUGACGAGGCGGAGGCGGAGGCGGAGGAGGAAGUGCAGGAAGAGGAGCCUCGCGAUGCGGCACGGCGCUCGUCGACGACCGUCGGUGCUGCAAUGCAGCAAUGCGUCCACGGCCGCGAGCUGCGACGCAACAACUCGCUCACGGCGCCGUGCUGUGAUGCAACCUCGUCGGCGCUACGAUGCAAUCUCGUCGCCGCUACUGUUGGUGAUAUAAGUCGUCGGCGUCGGAGCUUCAACGGAUCGCUCGUCGGCGGUUACCCGUGCUCCAAUGCAGCACUCGUGCAACGCUCGUCGGCGGCUCGAUGCAGCGACUCUGACGACUCUCGGGGGGAGGUUGGUGUAGCAAUGGAGCUGCAGCACAACAGCGUGAUGCUAGGCGCCAGGACGGCGGAGUUGCAGUGCAACACUCCGGUGGGGCGGCUGGCGACAGAGCUGCAGUGGAGCGGGGCGCGGUGCUACGCACAGGGCGGCGGAGCUGCGGUGCAACACUCCGGUGGAGGGCGGAGCUGUAGUGCAACGAGGCGUGGUGGUGGCGUAGUGGCGCGCAGGGCGGCGAAGCUGCAGCUGCCGUGGAACACUCCGAUGGGGCAGCGGAGCUCUGCAACGUUCCGUCCUGCUGAUGCUGGUGCGGCUGCCGAGUUUGCAGCGUGA